CUGACUGGGUCUCCACUUGCAUGGGAGUCCAAUUCUACUAGGAAGGAAGGACAAAACGUCAAAAAAAAAAAAAAAAAAACCAUCAUUAUCAUUUGGGGUAAUUGUUAUGAUGAAAACAAGUGAGGAGCUGAGAGUUGAAAGGGGCAUGGCCUGGGAGAAGACCUUUGCUGUGUAGGUUGGCAUGGAAGGUCUUUCUGCAAAGAUGACACUGGUUUCGGUAUGGAGAAUGGAAUGGAGAAGAGUGGGAUUAGACGGGUUUCCU
rnacentral:lncRNA from 1 species